rnacentral:rRNA from 1 species
UACGUAGGGAGCAAGCGUUGUUCGGAUUUACUGGGCGUAAAGGGCGCGUAGGCGGCGUGUCAAGUCGAUUGUGAAUCUCCGGGCUUAACUCGGAACGGCCAAUCGAUACUGACGUGCUAGAGUGCAGAAAGGGCAAUCGGAAUUCUUGGUGUAGCGGUGAAAUGCGUAGAUAUCAAGAGGAACACCUGAGGCGAAGGCGGGUUGCUAGGCUGACACUGGACGCUGAGUGCGCGAAAGCCAGGGGAGCAAACGGG